GUUCGUGGGCUUUGUUAGAAACUUGAAAGUUGCGAAAAAGAGACGAAGUUUGAAGAUGAAUAAAGAAAAGUGAACGAUAACUUUUUUCAAAAACGUACGUACUUUAGUGUACGAAAAUAACACAACGAAUAACAUUCACAACGAAUAACAUUCACAACGAAUAACAUUUAAAAAAUGUGAUCGUCAUGUGUGUCAACUUUGGUGUCGCAGUCCUCCAUGCUCUGCUGUUUGGCGGAUUUGAGGCCUGAUGCCAUUGUAACAACAAGUUAGGCAACUUUUGCUUGUGCUGCUGGUAUGGACAUGUCAUCAGCAACAAUCUCACCAUCAUCACUUGGGUAAACAGCAUCAUCCAGUUUGAAUGGGGAAACUCUGUCCUCGUGUAUGCCCAUGUGAGUGUGGGUGUAUUCACGAGGACAUCCUUUUUCUGUCCUUCAACUUUUCUGCGGAUGAUGCACUUGUGGAUGGAUGCCUGGCCGUAUUUUCCCAGGCUUAAAGGUAGGCCAAAUUUAUCU